UAAAUGGAAAUGGAGCAAUUAUAAUCUAAUGGAUUGACAAAUAUGUAAUAUUGAAAAAAAGGCUCUGUUUAUAGCAAGUAGCUUCAUUGUGGUACUACUGCUGAAUAGAGGUGAAUGUUUUGGGUUAUAGCCGUGGGAAAGGGAUACUGUUGGGCACCUAAAUUUGUCUAGGGAUAUCCUUGCACACGGGUUGGCACAUCAAAGCUGUGUAAUGUGGACUUGGACACUAUCAGGCAUCAAGUGUGCUGAGAAUGUUGUGUGAGCACGUACAUGGUGUUGCCAUGCAUGUCGGUGCGUAUAUAUGCAUCAGGACUGUAUUCGAGAUGCCUUCGUACUUUCGUAUCUAUCCCACAACAUGCUACAUUAUAGCAAGCUUGUGCAUCGUGUAGAUUCGACAGACAUCUGCAGAUGCCGAGGGAUCUUCGAGGGAAAUUCUUUCUCUAGCACAGAAUAAGUGAAAAAGGAAACAAGAAUGUGUGAAAUUAAAAUAUUGAAAUUUACAGCUUAAUUUGAGUUGUUAAAAAAUUAAAU
rnacentral:lncRNA from 1 species